AGCAGAUCCCACCUUCAGUCCUGGCUCUGACAAGCCCUCCAGGCUUGUUUUGCCAGCUUCACGCCACCCGGGAUGGGAGAAAGCAGGUGUCGCGAGAGUUGGGCGCAAGACGCCUUGUAGGGAGUGUAACUAUGGCCGGCCUGCGGAACGAAAGUGAACAGGAGCCGCUCUUAGGCGACACACCUGGAAGCAGAGAAUGGGACAUUUUAGAGACUGAAGAGCAUUAUAAGAGCCGAUGGAGAUCUAUUAGGAUUUUAUAUCUUACUAUGUUUCUCAGCAGUGUAGGGUUUUCUGUAGUGAUGAUGUCCAUAUGGCCAUAUCUCCAAAAGAUUGAUCCGACAGCUGAUACAAGUUUUUUGGGCUGGGUUAUUGCUUCAUAUAGUCUUGGCCAAAUGGUAGCUUCACCUAUAUUUGGUUUAUGGUCUAAUUAUAGACCAAGAAAAGAGCCUCUUAUUGUCUCCAUCUUGAUUUCCGUGGCAGCCAACUGCCUCUAUGCAUAUCUCCACAUCCCAGCUUCUCAUAAUAAAUACUACAUGCUGGUUGCUCGUGGAUUGUUGGGAAUUGGA
rnacentral:lncRNA from 1 species